GAUGCCAUGAGGAGCAAGGCAAGGCUGUCAAUUACAGGAAGUACUGGAGAAAAUGGACGUGUUAUGACUCCAGAAUUUCCAAAAGCAGUGCAUGCAGUACCUUACGUGAGUCCUGGCAUGGGAAUGAAUGUCAGUGUGACUGAUCUCUCGUGAUUGAUAAGAACCUUUUGAGUGCCUUACACAAUGGUUUUCUUGUGCGUUUAUUGUCAAAGUGGUGAGAGGCAUCCAGUAUCUUGAAGACUUUUCUUUCAGCCAAGAAUUCUUAUAUUUGUGGAGUUCAUCUUGGAUUGUAAUGAAUGCUUAGUUCAAAACACAACACCAUUUUCUACACAAGUUCAAGAUGAAGCUUGACUGACAUGCACAGCUAACAUGGAAGUACUGUAAUCUAACUGAAGUCGUUGUACAGGCAACACACCAGUUUCUGCAGCCACCGUUGUUAGUCCCUUGGUUCAUAUUGACUUAAGCACACUUGACAUCAAUUGCAUCAAGAUGUGACAUGUUUUAUAAGAAAAAAAAAAACAUUUAAAAUGAAAAAAAUAUUUUUAGGUAUUUUCACAAACAAAAACUGGCUUUUAAAUAAAUUUGCUUCCAUAAUGGUUGUUAUAAGCAAAAGAAAAAAAAAAAAAAAAAAAAAAAAGAAAAAAAAGAAAAAAAGAAAUCUAGACUGCGGGGAAGUGGAAUAUGAAAAUAAGGCUUAAAGCAUCAGUUCCAUAUUUUUCAAAGCCAAAUAUGUUAUGUUGAGAAGAGAAGAAAUAAUAAGUAAAAGGUUCAAAUCUUGUAAUUUAAUAUUGUUAUUAAAACUUUGCUGUAUAUCCUAUUCUUUAACAUUUGGUGUUAAUAUAAAAUUACUUGGCGAUGCUUGACAUUUGAAAUAAACUUUUUUCUAUGGUUUUAUUUGCAAGUGUUCCAUUAAUUUUACUAGCUACUGUUGGAUUAUAAAGAGUCUGAAAUCUAAAAGGACACUGUCAAGGUUGGGUCAGUGUUUUAGUUUCUGGCAGUGUCGCCACCCCCAGCUCACUUGAAUCUGUUCAACUUUUUUUUUUUCCUACAGACGAGCCCAAGCUGUGAUGCCCAGAUAUGCGUUUUGAACUCUGAAGAUCAAGGUUGUUCUGGGUUAGAGUGGUACUUCAUACCAGCACAUGAGGAGUCAGAUAGGUGCUGAUUUAGAGCUCCUCUUAACUCUGACAUACAGGGACUUAUGAUCCAAAGAUUUGGUUCAUAUCUAUCUCUACUUUUGUACAAUUGCGUUCAUAAAUACAUGUACAGAGAGAGAAGACUAUUGGUAAAAACUGAUAAAUGGCAAGCAGUAAAAUAGCGUUAAAUAUUUUUUUAAAGUAUGAAGCAAAUACAGAUCUCAAAUUGUUCCUUUAAGGAAGCAGUUUUCAAACUGUUAAAAGGUAAUUCUAAGCAGUAGCUAGUAAAGUUCUUUGUUGUGGAAAAAAAACCCCAAAACCUUGGCAAUGUCUUUUUAAAUUAAGUUCGAUAAUAACUCGAAUUAGAUGCAAGUCUGUACUGAUGAAAUUUUUAAAACUUUCCUGAGUCUUAAUCAUUAUGAAUAGUCUUUGCAAUCUCAAGUUACCAUACAUUUUAAUUAUGUGUAUUUAAAAAUGAUAACUCUACUUACAAAGCAAAAAGGAAUCCUAGGAGGGGUGCAAUAACGUUAAUUUAAAUGCUAAUGCAAAUCAAAGCAACAUCAUGUUUCUCCGGCUUUCCCUGUAGAUAAAACUCUGUACAUUUAGUUGAAAAGCUUACAUUUUUCUGCAUCGUGGAUGCAUUGCCUCAUGCAGUAUCAGUAGAUCUCUAUUUUAUUUUUUUCUUGAGUAAAAUUUGAAAUACGACUUGCAGUUUUAGUUGAAAUCCAUUUCUUUAGGCUUAAGUAAAGUGUUUACUGAACAUCGGAGAAGACAGAGCCUUUAUCAGAAACUUGAAGUCCCUUCUUAUGGGGAGCCUGUUUCUGCAAAGCACGUGAACACAGUGUAUGCUCUCAGUGCAGUCAGCAACUGAGGUACAUACAGUGUUUUCAAUGUCAAACUUAACCAGUAACUUCCCCCUAACAAAACUGAACCGUUUCUUGACACAUCUGUAAUCCAUAGGUGUUCUGUGCAUUACUCCUCAUCAGGAAUGUUGGGGAAUGCAUUCCAGUUUUUAAUGUUCAAUGCUAGAAUGACCAAACUAAAAUAAUAUUCAUAUGGUAAUCUAAACUUUUUGAAAAAGUAGAAUUGCAUUACUGUAUACAGUGGAAAGCUAUUUAUUGUACCUCUGGGCUUAUUCCUCUAAAAAUCGUAGCGUAAAAAAAUCUUUGUCAAGCCUGAACUGAUGUAUAUAACUGAAAUAAUGUAAAGUUAUAUUUUCAUGUUUUUAUACUUAACAACAUGAUGGGAAUACAUAAUGUAUGAGUAUUUCAAUUACAGAUAAUAUUGAUUGGAUAAUACACAUCUGAGUUAAAAAGCAGUAAUCAUAGUUUAAUAUCCAUGUUACAGUACAUCAGUAUAUUGCUAUAUAAAGUAUGUCUGUGUGCAUUUAAGUGAAAAGUAGUCAAGAGUGAUGAAAGCUGUCCAAGGGUUUUUUAUUCAUUUUAUAUGAAAACUGUUAUGGAGCAACCAAAAUGUUUAUGAACUCAAACUUGUGUAAAUUUCAAAAUGUCCUUUACUGUAGCUUUUUGUUUACAGUAUCUUACUUUCUGCUUUGUUAAAUGAGUAACGGUACAAAGCUGGACAUACUUUCUAAGACAUUAACAUUUCUGUUUUUUCAUGUAUACCUAUAUGACAGAAAAUGCUUCUGAUUUUAUUUUUCAAUCUAACACAUGAUGGCUUUUCUGGAGUGUUGUAUAAACUUCAAUCAUACAUAAAAAAUCUUCUUAAAAAAGGCAAAAGAC